ACAGCAUUAUUCAAAGUGCAUUAUGUAUUAACCCCUUCAAUUCUAUUAUUAUCUCCAUUUUACAGACAUGGAAACUGGGUUAAAUAACAUGCCUAAGGUCAGUGGCAGAGCGAAGACUUGAACCUGGUCUACUUGGUUCCAGAGUCUAUGCUAUUGACAUUACUCUCUGCUGACUCUCCAGGAAUGGAAAGAAACAAGGCACAGGCUUGCUCUCAAAAGCUCAAAUCUUGUGUUGCUUUCAUUGUCUCCUAGAUGUACCCCCUAAAACUGAUUCACAGUCCUGGGCAGAGUAUCCAGUUGCCUAGUCCUGAAUUCAGUGCUCAUGAUCCAUGGCUGCAGGAGUGGAGACUGGAAGGAUUUUCUAUGUCACAUCCCGUAGUAAGGAAGAAGGGCACUCACUGGAAUAUCGAUACUACAUACAGUUAGGGGUUUACUGUUUGACCAAGAAAAACUUGGAAGAUGUCAAGUUUUAGGCAAAGCUGGAGAACUGGCACUAUAGUUGACAAGAUGUUUCAGUACCCAGUUGGCAGGGCUCUGUGCCUGUUAACCCAAACCCUGGGCUGACUCUUGACUCCUAGCAACUAAGAUCCUUUGUCUGGGCUUGGGUCUCUUUGUUCUGAGUUUCCUGGUCUGGAUCCCUGGUCCUCUGCUGAUCUUUUUGACUUGCCUCCCUGCCUGUCAACUCUCCACCUGAACUCACCUUUCCGGAUGUGGCUUCUUUAUCCUCUUAGCUAGAGGGGCCCACUAGCCUGAAUUCUUCAUCUGUAUUUCCUUCAGACUGCCUGGGCUAUUUGCUGCUCAAAUCUGGAAAUAACAGACUUUCUUGGCACUGAGUAACUACCCUCUGUCUUACUUAACAUUGUAGAAAAUGUUUUCAUGAUACAACAUAUUUGUUCAUUCUUUCUCUUAAAAGUGGAUGCUUUCGGCCCAGCGCGGUGGCUCACGCCUGUAAUCCCAGCACUUUGGGAGGCCCAGGCAGGCGGAUCACAAGGUCAGGGGAUUGAGACCAUCCUGGCUAACACGGUGAAACCCCGUCUCUACUAAAAAUACAAAAAAAUUAGCCGGGCAUGGCGGCAGGCCCCUGUAGUCCCAGCUACUUGGGAAGCUGAGGCAGGAGAAUGGUGUGAACCCGGGAGGAGGAGCUUUCAGUGAGCCGAGAUCAGGGGCCAUUGCACUCCAGCCUGGGCGACAGAGUGAGACUCCAUCU
rnacentral:lncRNA from 1 species